rnacentral:rRNA from 1 species
GACGAACGCUGGCGGCGUGCUUAACACAUGCAAGUCGAGCGAUGAAGUUUCUUCGGAAAUGGAUUAGCGGCGAACGGGUGAGGAACACGUGAAGAAUCUGCCCUCCACUUUGGGAUAACACCGGGAAACCGGUGCUAAUACCGAAUAUUGAAACAUAAGUGGCAUCACUGAGUUUUGAAAGAAUUUCGAUGGAGGAUGACUUCGCGGCCUAUCAGCUAGUUGGUGAGGUAAUGGCUCACCAAGGCAACGACGGGUAGCCGGCCUGAGAGGGCGACCGGCCACACUGGGACUGAGACACGGCCCAGACUCCUACGGGAGGCAGCAGUGGGGAAUAUUGGGCAAUGGAGGAAACUCUGACCCAGCGACGCCGCGUGCGGGAUGAAGGCCUUCGGGCUGUAAACCGCUUUCAGUAGGGAAGAAGCGAAAGUGACGGUACCUACAAAAGAAGCACCGGCUAACUAUGUGCCAGCAGCCGCCGUAA